UUCGUUGCGGCAGUUUUCGCAAACACAAUUUGCUUAACGAUUCGAAGCUUAUCAACAAUGAAUGCCAUUGUACAUUUCUCCGUCCAUCUAUUUCUAUAUUUUUUAGCAGAACAAUGUCGUCUGAAAGAGUCAGGUUUCCUUCGAAUUGGAAGUCUACUUUCUACUGUUUUCCUAUUGGAGCGCGAAAGAUGACCUAAUAGGAAAGUAUUAUGUCGCUACGUAGACUUGAAACUGGCAGGUGACCCACUUUGCUCUUCGCUAUCAAAGCUAUCGAAUGUGGGUGCUGCAGGUAAUCCUUAUCUCUGCCAAUUAACGAGAAAUCCAACUACAAACGAGCAUCAAUGCAGUCGGCAAUGGAAACAAUACCGGGAGUACGCCUCAACCGUAAUAGAUAUAACGAUUAAGUUUAAUCAGCGAAGCGUCUGCACAGCGAUAGGCAGUGACGAAUUAUUUUGAAUGUGCUGUGACGCAUGCUGGCCUCAUCGUGUGCGCCACCACCUAUGAGUGUUUUAUUUUCGUGGAGGAACAGCAAAGUGCCGUCCAUUGAUGAAUGACGUUGUCAUCUAUGGAGUAGAAAUAUAUUAGCACUGAGUGAAUAUGUUUAGGAAAUGGUCGCGAGGAAAUGCAAUACUGACCAGGAGGGAGAAGGAGGCAACUACCCACAAACUACGAGGAAAUAAUAACCAAGGUCUAGUUUUUCAGAUACAUUGCCAACAAUGCUCGCGACAAACCUUCAUUCCACUGAUGGCGCGAUUCUCAUCAAUGAUAAAAAAAAUUUACAAGAACUUCAAACAACUUACAUAACUUAAAGAGAAAACUGGUUGCCUGCCGAAGCGAAGCCAGGCGAAAUUCCAAUUCCGCUGGGGAACUGUUAGCGCAAUCAUAAAGCGAAAAGGCUGCCGGGGGUGCAGGACCCCCGGACGAGACCGAGCUGACACGGACGCGGAUGAAAGUUCUUCGCGAGCGUUGCCCUAGACCUAGUAGAGCUCCUCGACUUAAUCAUCAAAAAAAGUUAGCACACAAACGGCGGUUUGCGUGGAUUCUCAGUUUUUUUCUUUUUCUCAUUUCUCUUGUUUUGUUUAAUAGGUUAUAUAAUAUAUAUAGUUUUGUUAUCUUUUAUA